rnacentral:tRNA from 1 species
GCCUGGGUGGCUCAGUCGGUUGAGCAUCCGACUUCAGCUCAGGUCACGAUCUCACGGUCCGUGAGUUCGAGCCCCACGUCAGGCU